CCAGACUCCUACGGGAGGCAGCAGUGGGGAAUAUUGGGCAAUGGGCGCAAGCCUGACCCAGCAACGCCGCGUGAUGGAAGAAGGCUUUCGGGUUGUAAACUUCUUUUAAGAGGGAAGAGAAGAAGACGGUACCUCUUGAAUAAGCCACGGCUAACUACGUGCCAGCAGCCGCGGUAAUACGUAGGCGGCAAGCGUUGUCCGGAUUUACUGGGUGUAAAGGGCGUGUAGGCGGGACUGCAAGUCAGAUGUGAAAACCACGGGCUCAACCUGUGGCCUGCAUUUGAAACUGUAGUUCUUGAGUACUGGAGAGGCAGACGGAAUUCCUAGUGUAGCGGUGAAAUGCGUAGAUAUUAGGAGGAACACCAGUGGCGAAGGCGGCCUGCUGGACAGCAACUGACGCUGAGGCGCGAAAGCGUGGGGAGCAAACAGGAUUAGAUACCCGGGUA
rnacentral:rRNA from 1 species